rnacentral:rRNA from 1 species
GAUGAACGCUGGCGGCGUGCCUAAUACAUGCAAGUCGAGCGAACAGACGAGGAGCUUGCUCCUCUGACGUUAGCGGCGGACGGGGGAGUAACACGUGGAUAACAUACCUAUAAGACUGGGAUAACUUCGGGAGACCGGAGCUAAUAACGGAUAAUAUAUUGAACCGCAUGGUGCAAUAGUGAAAGACGGUUUUGCUGUCACUUAUAGAUGGAUCCGCGCCGCAUUAGCUAGUUGGUAAGGUAACGGCUUACCAAGGCAACGAUGCGUAGCCGACCUGAGAGGGUGAUCGGCCACACUGGAACUGAGACACGGUCCAGACUCCUACGGGAGGCAGCAGUAGGGAAUCUUCCGCAAUGGGCGAAAGCCUGACGGAGCAACGCCGCGUGAGUGAUGAAGGUCUUCGGAUCGUAAAACUCUGUUAUUAGGGAAGAACAAAUGUGUAAGUAACUAUGCACGUCUUGACGGUACCUAAUCAGAAAGCCACGGCUAACUACGUG